rnacentral:rRNA from 1 species
CUACGGGCGGCUGCAGUGGGGAAUAUUGGACAAUGGGCGAAAGCCUGAUCCAGCCAUGCCGCGUGUGUGAAGAAGGCCUUCGGGUUGUAAAGCACUUUCAGUGGGGAAGAAAGCCUUGGGGCUAAUACCCUCGAGGAAGGACAUCACCCACAGAAGAAGCACCGGCUAACUCCGUGCCAGCAGCCGCGGUAAUACGGAGGGUGCGAGCGUUAAUCGGAAUUACUGGGCGUAAAGCGCGCGUAGGCGGUCUGAUAAGCCGGUUGUGAAAGCCCCGGGCUCAACCUGGGAACGGCAUCCGGAACUGUCAGGCUAGAGUGCAGGAGAGGAAGGUAGAAUUCCCGGUGUAGCGGUGAAAUGCGUAGAGAUCGGGAGGAAUACCAGUGGCGAAGGCGGCCUUCUGGACUGACACUGACGCUGAGGUGCGAAAGCGUGGGUAGCAAACAGGUUUAGAUACCCCUGUAGUC